rnacentral:rRNA from 1 species
GCGGUAAUACGGAGGGGGUUAGGGUURUUCGGAAUUACUGGGCGUAAAGCGCACGUCGGCGGACUGGAAAGUUGGGGGUGAAAUCCCGGGGCUCAACCUCGGAACUGCCUCCAAAACUAUCAGUCUAGAGUUCGAGAGAGGUGAGUGGAAUUCCAAGUGUAGAGGUGAAAUUCGUAGAUAUUUGGAGGAACACCAGUGGCGAAGGCGGCUCACUGGCUCGAUACUGACGCUGAGGUGCGAAAGUGUGGGGAGCAAACAGGAUUAGAUACCCUGGUAGUCCACACCGUAAACGAUGAAUGCCAGUCGUCGGCAAGUAUACUUGUCGGUGACACACCUAACGGAUUAAGCAUUCCGCCUGGGGAGUACGGUCGCAAGAUUAAAACUCAAAGGAAUUGACGGGGGCCCGCACAAGCGGUGGAGCAUGUGGUUUAAUUCGAAG